GGACAGGGGAGAGAGGAGAAGGGAGUUUGUAUGUUUGUAUGAUAGGUGCAGUGUAAUGUGUUGUUGUACAGGGUCAGCCAUAGUAGUAUGAUAGGUGUUGUUUUACAGGGUCAGCCAUAGUGGUAUGAUAGGUGUUGUUGUACAGGGUCAGCCAUAGUGGUAUGAUAGGUGUUGUUGUACAGGGUCAGCCAUAGUAGUAUGAUAGGUGUUGUUGUACAGGGUCAGCCAUAGUGGUAUGAUAGGUGUUGUUGUACAGGGUCAGCCAUAGUAGUAUGAUAGGUGUUGUUGUACAGGGUCAGCCAUAGUAGUAUGAUAGGUGUUGUUUUACAGGGUCAGCCAUAGUGGUAUGAUAGGUGUUGUUGUACAGGGUCAGCCAUAGUAGUAUGAUAGGUGUUGUUUUACAGGGUCAGCCAUAGUAGUAUGAUAGGUGUUGUUGUACAGGGUCAGCCAUAGUAGUAUGAUAGGUGUUGUUGUACAGGGUCAGCCAUAGUAGUAUGAUAG
rnacentral:lncRNA from 1 species